GGCGAACGCUGGCGGUAUGCUUAACACAUGCAAGUCGAGCGCGAAAGUGACUUCGGUCAUAAGUAGAGCGGCGGACGGGUGAGUAACACGUGGAUAAUCUGCCUUUAGGACUGGGAUAACCCUGGGAAACUAGGGCUAAUACCGGAUAAGACCACAGGUUCCAUGGAACCAGGGGUAAAAGGCGGCCUUCGGGCUGUCGCCGAAAGAUGAGUCCGCGUCCCAUCAGGUAGUUGGUGAGGUAACGGCNCACCAAGCCGAAGACGGGUAGCCGACCUUAGCGGGUGAUCGGCCACACGGGGGACUGAGACAC
rnacentral:rRNA from 1 species